UACGAAGGGGGCUAGCGUUGUUCGGAAUCACUGGGCGUAAAGCGUACGUAGGCGGACCAUUAAGUCGGGGGUGAAAUCCCAGGGCUCAACCCUGGAACUGCCUUCGAUACUGGUGGUCUGGAGUCCGGGAGAGGUGAGUGGAACUCCUAGUGUAGAGGUGAAAUUCGUAGAUAUUAGGAAGAACACCAGUGGCGAAGGCGGCUCACUGGCCCGGUACUGACGCUGAGGUGCGAAAGCGUGGGGAGCAAACAGG
rnacentral:rRNA from 1 species